CCCUUAGACGUUCUGGGCCGCACGCGCGCUACACUGACGAAGGCAACGAGCUUUCCUUUACCGAAAGGUACGGGUAAUCUUUUGAAACUUCGUCGUGCUGGGGAUAGAUCCUUGCAAUUUUUGAUCUUAAACGAGGAAUGCCUAGUAAGCGCAAGUCAUCAACUUGCGUUGAUUACGUCCCUGCCCUUUGUACACACCGCCCGUCGCUACUACCGAUUGAAUGGUUUAGUGAGGCCUUCGGAUCCGCGACUCGUUUAUGGAGAAGUUGGACAAACUCAGUCAUUUAGAGGAAGUAAAAGUCGUAACA
rnacentral:rRNA from 1 species